rnacentral:rRNA from 1 species
CUCAAAAAAUAGAUCUCAGUUCGGACUGUAGGCUGCAACUCGCCUACACGAAGUUGGAAUUGCUAGUAAUCGUGGAUCAGCAUGCCACGGUGAAUACGUUCCCGGGUCUUGUACACACCGCCCGUCACACCAUGGGAGCUGGUAACACCCGAAGUCAGUAGUCUAACCGCAAGGAGGACGCUGCCGAAGGUGGGAUUAGCGACUGGGGUGAAGUCGUAACAAGGUACC